GCCUGCCAGGUCAGCAUGAGAGUACAGCCUGGAAGUGUAAAGAAGUUAACACUCUCAGGGACCAUCUUCAUCCAAUGGGGAAUGGAAACUGAAGGAUGAAUGUUCCAGCCUCCUGCUCACUGGAGAUGUGAACAACUGGAAGUUGGUCUGCGGGCUUCUCAGAGGCCGCUGGUGGAAUUGAGCUUCAAUUGCCCAUAGCAGAAACCUUGAUACCUGAGAAAGUGGACAUUGAGAAGAAUCAAGAUAGUAGUCAUAGUCGGGAACUAGGCAAUAAUACUCAAUGAGAAGAGAUGUGGGUAGUCAGUAAAUGUGUAGACUGACUGCACAGGGAAGGGCACUUCAGGAUUUGUGGUCUGCAUGUGGUUUGAAAAGCCCUUUAGGAGAUCAUGCCCUACAAUGCCAGGAUAACCUGCACCCACCCUGGUCUCCAGUUUGACUUUCCACGCCAAGAAUAUAUCACGCAAUACAGAAACUGAGGAUCAGAGAAGUUAAGUGAAUUACCUGAGAGCAUACACUAGUGGAUGUGUUAUGUGUGGCAGAAUUUGGGAAUCGAAGUUUGGUUUAAUUUCAAGGCUCUUUCUGUUCAAUCUCCACAAAGUCUUCUACUGGAGUUGACCUUCUGCAUGUGGUUGGUUCAUACAUGAGGACCGAACAUCAGAGGACCCUGAAGUGACAAGCCUAAGGGAAGUCAUCAAGGAUUUUGGGAUAACCUGCAUCCAUGGACUGCAUAUCUUCAUCAUACCAGAGUGAUCUGAUUUCCCAAGAUUUCUGAGGGUACGUCGUUACCUCCAAUACUCAUUGGCAACAAAGAAGUGUGUUUUUCCAGUGUCCUUCUCAUAAAUGGCAGUAUCAAUUUUCUUCACCCUUUCAGGUAAGCCAAAGGAACUGUAGAUGUCCCUGAGGUAUCCACUCAGCAAUUGAUCCCCCUGAACGGCCCAGUACUUACUGCCUGUCAACAAAAAAAUCUGCCAUGGAAAGAUUUGCCUGGAGUCUAGUAGAUA